GCUUGUCUCAAAGAUUAAGCCAUGCAUGUCUUAGUGUAAAUAACUCUUAUGAAACUGCGAAUGGCUCAUUAUAUCAGUUAUAGUUUAUUUGAUGGUCCUUGCUACUUGGAUAACCGUAGUAAUUCUAGAGCUAAUACAUGCAUCAAACCCGACUUCUGGAAGGGGUGUAUUUAUUAGAUGGAAACCAAUGCAGGGCAACCUGGAAUAUGGUGAUUCAUAAUAACUCGCGGAUCGGUUUACCGAUGCAUCAUUCAAGUUUCUGCCCUAUCAGCUUUGGAUGGUAGGGUAUUGGCCUACCAUGGCUUUAACGGGUAACGGAGAAUUAGGGUUCGAUUCCGGAGAGGGAGCCUGAGAAAUGGCUACCACAUCCAAGGAAGGCAGCAGG
rnacentral:rRNA from 1 species